GAUGAACGCUGGCGGUAUGCCUAACACAUGCAAGUCGUACGAGAGUUUUUAACUCUAGUGGCGGACGGGUGAGUAACACGUGAGAAUUUGCCUUUAGGAGGGGGACAACAAUUGGAAACGAAUGCUAAUACCCCAUAUGCUUUCGAGUGAAAUGGAUUUUAUCCGCCUAGAGAGAAGCUCGCGGCUGAUUAGCUUGUUGGUAAGGUAAGAGCUUACCAAGGCGACGAUCGAGUAUCUGGUUUGAGAGGACGAUCAGACACACUGGAACUGAGACACGGUCCAGACUCCUACGGGAGGCAGCAGUGGGGAAUUUUCCGCAAUGGGCGAAAGCCUGACGGAGCAAUACCGCGUGAGGGAAGAAUGCCUAUGGGUUGUAAACCUCUUUUUUCAGGGAGGAAUAAAAUGACGAGUACCUGAAGAAUAAGACAUCGGCUAACUCCGUGCCAGCAGCCGCGGUAAAGUGACUACUG
rnacentral:rRNA from 1 species